rnacentral:lncRNA from 1 species
AUCUAUUUGGGGCUGAGGAAAAUUCAGGUGGAAGACAAUUAAAUAACUAACCACCUCCGCAAGGGGCAGAACUCAAACUCAGGUCUCCCUCCCACGCCCUGGGCUCCAGGGACACCCUUGGGUGUCGUUGUUGAAACAGGACGAGGCGUGACGCCGGGUCUGCUUUGUUUGGCGUGGGUUCUCACUAUGUUGCUUAAGCUGGUCUAGAACUCAAGCCAGUCUCUCACUUCAGCCUCUUGAGUCGUUGGAAUUACAGGAGCCACCAUGUCCAACUAGACAAGAUCUUGUUGCCCAGGCUGGUCUCAAACUUCUGAGUUCAAAUGAUACUCCCACCUCGGCCUCCUAAAGUGUUGGGAUUGCAGACCUGAGCCACUGUGCCUGGCUGAAUUCUAUUUCUAUUGGAUUGGUUGUAAAGAAGUGCAUUGUAGCCUGCAAAGAAGCAGGGCCAGUGGGGUGGAGAGGGCAGAAGUGCUACAGAGGCCCCUGCUCUCCACUGCCCUGACUGCUACUGUGCUGGAUGCUGUGUGAACCACAGCUGCAUCUGGAGGCCUUGGGCAGCACCUAACAGGAAGCCAGAGUAGGUCCUCCGAAGGUGUUUGUUCAAUGAACAUGUCAUCCUCCUCAACUUAAAGCCUUUAGCUUUUCCAAUUUGGAGGCACAAAUAAGUGAGAACUUGGGGAUCCACUGAGGUCUGAGGCAUGGUGGUACCAGAGGAGAUGAAGGGGCUUUCAGCAUGAAGCUGGUCCCCUGUUGACAGCACGCUGAUUUUCCCAUUGGGCUCUAUCAGCAUGUCCACUGUCAGGUUGGUGACAUUGUCUGCAGGUGGGAAUGCUUCGAUCACACCCCCUGGUGGGAAAAACAUGGAGUAGGUGAAAGGACACAUGCAUUUUGUUUGACUUGGGCUCAGAUUCUGCAUCUGCCACGUCUU